AUAUAUAUAUAUUCUCUUGUAGCCAAGGGCGUGCAGAAGGAGAAGUUGGAUAGGAAACUGAAGUGGGAAGGAAAGAAUGGCGAGAUACAACUACUACUACUACCGGUACCCUUACUUGGAGUACUUGACAUUGCCUCCUCUGCAGCUGUGUGUGUUUGGUUUGGUCCUUCUUCUGGUGAUGGCCUUUUCAUGGACUCUCUCCACCGCGCCGGUGGCUCACCCUGGGGCGUCGCUAUCCUCCUCAUCUUCCUUCUCUAUGUUAUCUCUCACCAGUCUCAUUACCACCAACGCUGGUUCCCUUUCGGCUAUAGAUAGUGCUUAACUACUUCAAUUCUGCUUAAGUUUGAUACUUGAUUAUACUCUUUGGUUUUGUGGAGUUUUUGCUAUUAUUAUGUGUAUUGUUUAUGUCACUAGAAUUGUUAUAUUACAAUAACGACUUUGUCGUCUACAUGAUCUAUUGAAAGUUUGUGUUUGUGAAAUAUGAUACAGAUUUAUCAAGGUAUUGUUUAAUAAUCAUUUAAGUCUCGUGUAGUAA